GACGAACGCUGGCGGCGUGCUUAACACAUGCAAGUCGAACGGAAAGGCCCUGCUUUUGUGGGGUGCUCGAGUGGCGAACGGGUGAGUAACACGUGAGUAACCUGCCCUUGACUUUGGGAUAACUUCAGGAAACUGGGGCUAAUACCGGAUAGGAGCUCCUGCUGCAUGGUGGGGGUUGGAAAGUUUCGGCGGUUGGGGCUGGACUCGCGGCUUAUCAGCUUGUUGGUGAGGUAGUGGCUUACCAAGGCUUUGACGGGUAGCCGGCAUGAGAGGGUGAUCGGCAACAGGGGAGAUGAGAAAGGGACGAGAGUCCUGAGGGAGGCAGCAGAAGGGAAUCUUCCGCAAUGGGCGAAAGCCUGACGGAGUGGCGCCGCGUGAGGGAUGACGGUCUCCGGAGCGUAAAACUCGGUUAUGAGGGAAGAACAUAUGUGUAAGUAACCGUGCAAAUAGUGACGGUAACUAAUCAGAAAGCCACGGCUAACUACGUG
rnacentral:rRNA from 1 species